AGCGAACGUUUGCGGCGGGCUUAACACAUGCAAGUCGAACGAGAAUCCCUUCGGGGAGGAAAGUGGCGCACGGGUGCGUAACACGUGGAUAACCAACCCAUUGGUUUGGGACAACACCGGGAAACUGGUGCUAAUACCAGAUGUGUCGCAGCUGUCUUCAGGCGGUUGCGAGAAAGGCCCGCAAGGGUCGCCAACGGACGGGUCCGCGUCCCAUCAGCUAGUUGGUGAGGUGAUGGCUCACCAAGGCAAAGACGGGUAGCUGGUCUGAGAGGAUGAUCAGCCACACUGGAACUGAGACACGGUCCAGACUCCUACGGGAGGCAGCAGUGGGGAAUAUUGCGCAAUGGGCGAAAGCCUGACGCAGCCACGCCGCGUGAGCGAUGAAGGUCUUCGGAUCGUAAAGCUCUGUGGGGGGAGAAGAAGAAAGCCGGUGAAGAGCCGGCCCUGACGGUAUCCCCUUAGCAAGCACCGGCUAACUCCGUGCCAGCAGCCGCGGUAAAGUC
rnacentral:rRNA from 1 species